rnacentral:rRNA from 1 species
AGGUUGACCUCGGAUCAGGUAGGGAUACCCGCUGAACUUAAGCAUAUCAAUAAGCGGAGGAAAAGAAACCAACAGGGAUUGCCUCAGUAACGGCGAGUGAAGCGGCAACAGCUCAAAUUUGAAAGCUAGCCUUCGGGUUCGCAUUGUAAUUUGUAGAGGAUGCUUUGGGUAAAACGCCAGUCUAAGUUCCUUGGAACAGGACGUCAUAGAGGGUGAGAAUCCCGUAUGUGACUGGAAAUGUUAACCUAUGUAAAGCUCCUUCGACGAGUCGAGUUGUUUGGGAAUGCAGCUCUAAAUGGGUGGUAAACUCCAUCUAAAGCUAAAUAUCGGGGAGAGACCGAUAGCGAACAAGUACCGUGAGGGAAAGAUGAAAAGCACUUUGGAAAGAGAGUUAAAAGUACGUGAGAUUGUCGAAAGGGAAGCACUUGAAGUCAGCCAUGCUGCUUGAGACUCAGCCUGGCUUUUGCUUGGUGUAUUUCUCGGUAGCAAGCCAGCAUUGGUUUGUGUCGUCGGAGAAGCGCAUGGGGAAUGUGGCAUCCUCGGAUGUGUUAUAGCCCUGUGCAGGAUACGACGACGUAGACCAAGGAACGCAGUGUGCCCUCUGGGCGGGUCUUCGGACACCUUCACACUUAGGAUGCUGGCGUAAUGGCUUUAAGUGGCCCGUCUUGAAACACGGACCAAGGAGUCUAACAUGUGUGCGAGUUUUUGGGUGGCAAACCCAUGAGCGUAAUGAAAGUGAAUGCAGGUGGGAUCCGCAAGGAGCACCAUCGACCGGCCCUGAUGUUCUCGGAUGGGUCUGCGUAAGAGCAUAUAUGUUGGGGCCCGAAAGAUGGUGAACUAUUCCUGGGCAAGAUGAAGCCAGAGGAAACUCUGGUGGAAGUCUUGAGCGAUUCUGACGUGCAAAUCGAUCGUCAGACCUGGGUAUAGGGGCGAAAGACUAAUCGAACCAUCUAGUAGCUGGUUUCCUCUGAAGUUUCCCUCAGGAUAGCUGGCACUAAUAGAGAAAAGAUCAAUAGCAUCCGGUAAAGAGAAUGAUUAGAGGUACUGGGAUCGAAACGAUUUCAACCUAUUUUCAAACUUUCAAUGGUUGCGAAGUUUAACUUAUUGAAAAUUUUACUCUCUAAAGUUAAACAUAACAAAAAUUAUAAAUUAAAAAAGUAUGAAUAGUGCCUAGUGGGCCAUUUUUGGUAAGCAGAACUGGCGCUGUGGGAUGAACCAAACGUUAGGUUAAAGCGCCCAAUGCUAACGCUAAUAAGAUUCCAUGAAAGGUGUUGGUUGCUACAGACAGCAGGACAGUGGCCAUGGAAGUUGGAAUCCGCUAAGGAGUGUGUAACAACUCACCUGCCGAAGCAACUAGCCCUGAAAAUGGAUGGCGCUUAAGCGUUGAGCUUAUACCUAACCAUAAUGUCAAUUUAUAAUAGUUGUAUGUAUUAAUUUAAAAGUUGAUAUAUAUAGCUUAAAGAGGAGAAGACAUUAUGAGUAAGAGGAACGCAAUGAUAGCGUCGAAGGGAUUAGAUUUAAGUCUGCCUGGAGCUUUCAUUGUUGCAGAUCUUGGUGGUAGUAGCAAAUACUCAAGUGAGAACCUUGAGGUCCAUUGUGGAGAUGGGUUCCAUGUGAACAGCAGUUGAACAUGGGUCAGUCGGUCCUAAGAGAUAUAAAGAAAUCUGUGCCAAAGUACCAAAAAUAAUUGUUGACUAAUGGCGAAUCUCGAAAGGGAAUUGGGUUAAUAUUCCAAAACAUAAAGAGGGAAAUAGUCUUUUCGAAGACAAAUAUGGUAACUCAAACUUGCUCACAGGUGUUUUCAUAAGCCUUGGAGAGAGUUAUCUUUUCUUUGUAAGGAUCUAAGUCCCUGGAAUAGUCUCAGCUGGAGAUAAGUAUAAAGGAACCGUAAAACACCGCACUUGCGGUGUCCGGAGUGCUCAUUAUAACCAUUGAAAAUCUGUGUCAGAACAAGUAUUUUCCUGCUAGUUCGUACCCAUAUCCGCAGCAGGUCUCCAAGGUGAAUAGCCUUUGGUCUAUAGAAUAAUGUAGAUAAGGGAAGUCGGCAAAGCUGAUCCGUAACUUUGGGAUAAGGAUUGGCUCUGAAGACUGAGCUGGUCGGGCUUUGGUCUAAUGCAAGUUAUGCAUUGUCCUCAAGACUGGAUCUAGUGUUGUUAAAUUUUUGGAAUAAAGAUGCUAAUCUAGGCUGUAAAUGUUUAAGAGAAGAAAGAAUUGUGUAAAAAGUGUAAAAGCUUUUUAUAUAUUCUUUGUAUUUUUUUUUACAUUUUGGUCUAGAUUGUCUUUAUUUUCGGUUUUUCAAUUAUCUAAUUCUGGACUUGUAUCUUUGCUAACUUGUAGAUAGCCUAAGCUAGACUCUUACAUUGUUUAAAAGUGUAAUUAUGAGUAGGGUAAAACUUAUUUGUAAUCUAUACUUUUAUCAAUAUAAGAUGUUCUUUCGGCCAGCAAAAAACAGUUGAAUCAGAACUGGCACGGACUUGGGGAAUCCGACUGUCUAAUUAAA